UUUAUUCAUAAGAUCGAGUAGACGAAACCAUUUCACAUACACUGGUAGCUACAAAGAUUACUUUUGUCGCAACAACUCAGCCUAAUGAAAUGGUACUAGAAGGACACACCAACCCAACCACCAAGAACUAGUGGCAUAUCUUUUUUUCAUCUCAAAACGAUUCAAUACUGGAGUAACACAUCCCUAGUAGCCGAGCACCGCAUACUUAGUGGUCCAAUUGCAAACAACCUAGCCCAAGCUGACCUCAGUUCUGCGCUCACAGCAGUGCUGAUCUUACACCACAGCUCCAAUCCAUGUCGAUCUUGCCCUGCAACUUCUAAUCGCGCCGACCAUGCCCACGAUACUUCAAAUUUUAAAGCAUCCAACGACGAAGUAAAAUAUGAGGCUUUACUAUCAUCACCUCUAGUGAAAGACUUAACGAUGAAGAAGCUUGCAAUCCAUUUAGAUUCUCAACUGACUACCAACCAAGCCUCAGAAGAACACACGAUGAAACAUGUAAAGAUGACACAAAACUUGGAGAAUGUCCGUGAGCAGCUCAUUGCGCUUCCCAUUUACACCCUUACACGAGUUCCACAAGCAAUUUGAAAUCGCAAGCAGAUCGCCGAACAAGACCGUACAGACUGAUAACUAUUUUAGUUGUCUAGUAGUCCAGUUUUCUUCAGUUGCACUCAUAACAAUGACUUCUAUGCUCUUCAGUACGAUAGGGUAAACCAAUCUUCCGACACCCAUUUGGGUUAGCUCUCUAGUGCGAGAGGGUAAACUAAUUCCCCAACACCCAUUUGGGUCUGCUCUCCAAUGUGAGGAUAAACUAAUUGCUCUCCAGUGUGAGAGAGUAAACUAAUUGUUCUACAAUGCGAGAAGGUAAACUGCUCUCCAGUGCGAGAGGAUAAACUAAUUGUUCUACAAUGCGAGAAGGUAAACUAAUCCCCUGACACCUAUCUGGGUAUGCUCUUUAGUGCGAGAGGAUAAACUAAUUGAUCACUAGUGUGAGAGGGUAAACCAAUCCCCCGACACCUAUCUGGGUAAACUCUCCAAUAUGAGAAAAUAAAAUAAUUGCUUUCCAAUGUGAGAAGGUAAACCAAUCUCCAGACACCCAUCUGGGUAAGCUCUCUUGUACAAGAGGAUAAAUUAAUAGAUCUCCAAUGUGAGAUGGUAAACUAAUUUCUCUCAAGUGCGAGAGGGUAAACUAAUUCCCCGAUGCCCAUCUGGGUUUGCUCUCCAGUGCAAGAGGAUAAACUAAUUGCUAUCUAGAGGGAGAUGGUAAACCAAUCCCCAACACCCAUCUGGGUAAGCUCUUUAGUGUGAGCGGAUAAACUAAUUACUCUUCAGUGUGAGAAGGUAAACCAAUUUCCCGACACCCAUCUGGAUUUGCUCUCUAGUGCAAGAUGAUAAACUAAUUCUUUGACACCCAUCUAGGUCUACUCUUCAAUGGAAGGGGGCAAACUUCCCAUGAAUUUCCACACUACUCAUUUUGAUGUGAUUAGUUAAAGAUUUUCAUAUUCCACAUAUCUUUAUUAUGUUGUGAUGCAGGCUAUACAACUCCAAUGAUCAAACUCGAAGACCAACUAAGCAUCAAAUGGUCAUAGAGUAGUAGUCGACGACGAACUCAACAACUUGAAGCCCA
rnacentral:lncRNA from 1 species